ACAAAAUGGUCAAAAUUCACAACCCAGAACUCACUGUACACUCAAAUUGUGUUCAUUUCAUUGUAUGUAAAUGACACCUUAAUAGAGUCAACUUUAAGAAAUGCCUGGUACAAUGCCUAGCACGUUGUAAGUGCUCCAUACAUUUUGCUUCCCAUCUCUUUGGCUGGUGCUUGGCAGGGAUGGCAUUCCCUGGCCCCUGCCUUGUGUGGUUGAAUGAACUCCAAGUCUUGUGAGCAGACACACCUGAUUUUAUAAUGUACCUGUGUUCUCUGACUUCUAAUACCCUCCAGCCAGCUUUCCGUUUUCAAUAUUUCCGUCAACCCAGACUACCAUAACAAAAUACUGCAGACUCAUGACUUGAACCACAGACAUUUAUUUCUCGCAGUUGUGGAGACUGAAACCCAUGAUUGAGUGGCCAGUGUGGUCAGGUUCUGGUGAGGAUGCUCUUUCUGGCUUGCAGACAGCUGUCUUCUCACUGGGCCAUCACAUGACAUUUUCAUGGCUUAAAGGGCCACUGGUCCUAUGGGAUUGACAUCCCACCUCAUGCAGCCUUAGUCACCUCCUAAAUACCUGUCACAUCAGAGGUUUGAGCUUACCACAUGAAGUUUGUGGGGGACACAAUUCAGCCCUUAGUGCAUCCUAUGCAACCACAAUGGCCCCUCUGUAUACAGGUGGCAAGUGGAAGUGUUGAUGUCAUUAUCUUAUACAAGAGCUUUGGGGGGGAGGGGGUUGUGUACACACACCAGCUCCCCGAGUCUGGGGCGGGUGGUCCUGAGGGCACGCUUCCACUCCAUUACUCAGAGUGUCCCUACUGGUGACUGGCUCGUGUCCCUGCCCUGCCCUCCCCGUGCUCCUCUUACCUGCCAAACACAUCAUUUCACUUGAAUUUUUGUCUCAGGGUCUGAUUCUGAGAGGACCUAGGCUAAGACAGUGACCGCUUUUGCUCAGGAGCUGGAAUUCAAGGCCUCCUGGGGAAAAGGUCCAGCAAACAUACAUCAGCGGGUACAAGAAGGGAUUCCAUCUGAGGGGCCAGGGAGGGCUCUGGGAGGAGGUGGGGAGUGAACUGGAAUUGAAAGGUGUGCACGGCUUUGACAGGUAAUUUAUGGAACCCAAAAGAAGGGAGAAAGAGAAGAGAGAAGAAGUGGAGAAAGAGGAGGAGAAGAAGGAGAAGGAGGAGGGGGAAGGGGACACGGUGAACACACUGGGCAUGGAGGAGUGAGACCCAGCCCCUCUUCUCAAGGUCACCAUAUAUAUGAGGACUGAGGUGACCACCAGGUGGAAGGCAGCUGUGCAGACCACAGGGGUGGUGGCAGUUCUGUUGUGAGAGACCCUAUCCGUCCCUCUGCCUCAGUCCUGGGACCUGUGCCAGGCUUCCUGUUAGGCACUUGAAAGAAAGCCUCAGUUUUCGGUGGACACAGCAUCUUUGUUUUAUUUUAUGUGGUGCUGAGGAUCGAACCCAGUGCCCUGCGCAUGCCAGGUGAGCGCGUUACCGCUUGAGCCACAUUCCCCAGCCCUGUGCCACACAUCUUGAUGCAGAGGUACCUACGACAGUGUCCGUCCCCAGAAGGCCUACAGCAGAGCAUGGCAGGGUGAGAGGGCCAAUGCACGAAGUGAAGGCCCUUAUAAAAAACCCAGGACAGCACAGGACAAACAGUGCACGCCUAAUGUAUGCUUUUUGAAUGAGUAGACUUAAGUUCUUAGGCCUUCAUACCUGUAAGAAUCACCUCCCAGAGAUUCAGGAGGUCUGCGGUGAGGGUCUGGGAAUCUGGAAAAGAAGAGGACUCACAAGCAGGUACUGGGAGGAUUGGGAGUGCAGAG